GACACCCUCUUCAGGAGAAUCAUUUCUAUAGUAUUCGAUCUCCUCUUGGUUCCCUACAAGAGCCACAGCACCCGCCCUGGUUGAUGAGUGUAUACCCCCGACACCCCAGAGUGAAAACUUUGGUCCUCUCGCUCUGUCCGCAAGGAUGGCGGUGCUGCCUCGUGCGGUGCUGUAUAGAGAGAUGCUCCGUUCCCAUCCUCUGGGUGUGGAACUCUUGAUGAUCUCGUCCCCGUUCGCAGUCAGCCUUAGGGCGUGUGGGCGGGGAGGGUGUCGGUGGAAGUCUGACAGGU
rnacentral:snoRNA from 1 species